rnacentral:rRNA from 1 species
UGAGUACGAGAUGCUACGGCAUCGAAGCAGUCUAUGUCAUACUUCCAAGAAAAGCUUGCACUGUCAGAAACAGAUAAUGCCUGUACCAUAACCGACACAGGUGGGUAGGUAGAGUAUACUAAGGGGCGCGAGAUAACUCUCUCUAAGGAACUCGGCAAAAUGACUCCGUAACUUCGGGAGAAGGAGUGCCUUAUUUUUAAGGUUGCAAUAACAAGAUCCAAGCAACUGUUUACCAAAAACACAGGUCUCCGCUAAGUCGUAAGACGAUGUAUGGGGGCUGACGCCUGCCCAGUGCCAGAAGGUUAAAGAAGUCGGUUAGCAUUCGCGAAGCUGGUAACUGAAGCCCUGGUGAACGGCGGCCGUAACGAUAACGGUCCUAAGGUAGCGAAAUUCCUUGUCGGGUAAGUUCCGACCCGCACGAAAGGCGUAAUGAUUUGGAUACUGUCUCGGAGAGGGGCUCGGUGAAAUAGACUUGUCUGUGAAGAUGCGGACUACCUGCACCUGGACAGAAAGACCCUAUGAAGCUUUACUGUAACUUGAAAUUGAAUUUGGACUUUAUUUGCGCAGUAUAGGUGGGAGGCGUUGAAAAUAUUCUUGCGGGAAUAUUGGAGCCAUCAGUGAGAUACCACUCUUGUAAUGUUAGAUUUCUAACUUUAUAUCAUUAUCUGGUUAAAGAACAGUUUCAGGCGGGCAGUUUGACUGGGGCGGUCGCCUCCCAAAUGGUAACGGAGGCGCACAAAGGUUUCCUCUGAACGGGUAGAAAUCGUAUCUAGAGUGUAAAGGCAUAAGGAAGCUUGACUGUGAGACCUACAAGUCGAGCAGGGACGAAAGUCGGUCUUAGUGAUCUGACGGUGCUGAGUGGAAAGGCCGUCACUCAACGGAUAAAAGUUACUCUAGGAUAACAGGCUGAUCUCCCCCAAGAGUUCACAUCGACGGGGAGGUUUGGCACCUCGAUGUCGGCUCAUCGCAUCCUGGGGCGGUAGUACGUCCCAAGGGUUGGGCUGUUCGCCCAUGAAAGCGGUACGCGAGCUGGGUUCAGAACGUCGUGAGACAGUUCGGUCCAUAUCCGGUGUAGGCGUUAGAAUAUUGAGAGGAGCCUUCUUUAGUACGAGAGGACCGAGAAGGACAUACCUCUGGUGUACCAGUUAUCGUGCCAACGGUAAACGCUGGGUAGCUAUGUAUGGAGUGGAUAACCGCUGAAAGCAUCUAAGUGGGAAGCCCACCUCAAGAUAAG